rnacentral:rRNA from 1 species
UACGUAGGGUGCGAGCGUUAAUCGGAAUUACUGGGCGUAAAGAGUGCGUAGGCGGUUCUUUGUGUCCGCAGUGAAAGCCCCGGGCUUAACCUGGGAAUGGCAGUGGAAACUAGAGAACUUGAAUCUGGCAGAGGGGGGUGGAAUGCCACGUGUAGCAGUGAAAUGCGUAGAUAUGUGGCGGAACACCGAUGGCGAAGGCAAUCCCCUGGGCCUGCACUGACGCUCAUGCACGAAAGCGUGGGGAGCAAACAGG